rnacentral:ncRNA from 1 species
AAAUAAAUUUUUAUAGUUUAUAUAAUUUAUUAUAAAUUUAUUUUACAUAUAAAUUUUAGUAUUAAUUUUUAAUUAUUUUAAUAAUGAUUAAUUGUUUUUGUAGUAAUUAAUAUUAAAAAUUUAAGAAAUUAAGAUUUAGUAAUAUUAAAAUUAUUAACUAAUUUUGUGCCAGCAGUUGCGGUUAUACAAAGAUUAAAUUAAAUUUUUUUAGUAAUUAAUUAUUAAUAUAAUUUAUUAAAUUAAAAUUUGUUUUAUUAAGUGAAAUUUUAAUUCAAUAAAAAUUUAUAAAUUAAUUAUGAUAUUAAUAAAUUUUAUAUAAAACUAGGAUUAGAUACCCUAUUAUAAAAAUUUAACUUAAGGAUACUAAAAUAGUAAAUAAUUAUUUAUUGAAACUUAAAUAAUUUGGCGGUAUUUUAGUUCAUUUAGAGGAAUCUGUUUAUUAAUUGAUAAUCCACGAAUAAAUUUACUUAAUUUAAUAGUUUAUAUAUCGUUGUUAAAAAAAAUAUUUUUAAAUAAUAAUAAUAUUUAAAAAUUUUUAUAAAAAAUUAAAUCAGAUCAAGAUGUAGUUUAUAAUUAAGAAUAUAAUGGAUUACAAUAAAUUUAUUUAUUAAUGGAAAUAAAUUUGUAAAAGUUAAUUGAAAUUGGAUUUAAAUGUAAUUUUAUUUAAUUUAUUAAAAUGAUUAAAAAUUAAAAUAUGUACAUAUUGCCCGUCGCUUUCAUUUAUAAGUUGGAAUAAGUCGUAACAAAGUAGAGGUACUGGAAAGUGUUUCUAGAAAGAA